GGAGAGAUGCCAGAGCGGUCGAAUGGGGCGGUCUCGAAAACCGUUGGGCAGGCAACUGCCCCGGGGGUUCGAAUCCCUCUCUCUCCGCCA
rnacentral:tRNA from 1 species